UCGUGCUAGGCGGGGAGGUAGCGGUGUCCUGUAACCCGCAAACCGCUAUAGCGGGGCUGAAUUCCCAUCGCUGAGGCUUUGGCCGAGAGAGUCUGACGCUGGCGUGAGACGUUGAGGAUUGGGUCCUGUGCAACGGGGUGUUGUGAACCCGGUCAGGUCCGGAAGGAAGCAGCCGUAAGCAAAUGGCUCCGGGUGCCGCAGGGAUGCCUAGUCUGAGUUUGACGUUGGUGGCCGGGCUCUAUCGGGUCAGGUCGAGGCUGGGUGCACGA
rnacentral:SRP_RNA from 1 species